UACGGAGGGUGCAAGCGUUAUCCGGAUUUAUUGGGCGUAAAGAGCUCGUAGGCGGUUUGUCGCGUCUGCCGUGAAAGUCCGGGGCUCAACUCCGGAUCUGCGGUGGGUACGGGCAGACUAGAGUGAUGUAGGGGAGACUGGAAUUCCUGGUGUAGCGGUGAAAUGCGCAGAUAUCAGGAGGAACACCGAUGGCGAAGGCAGGUCUCUGGGCAUUAACUGACGCUGAGGAGCGAAAGCAUGGGGAGCGAACAGG
rnacentral:rRNA from 1 species